rnacentral:precursor_RNA from 1 species
CGAUAGAAUGUUGAAAAUGUCGUACAGCACUGUGCAUGGCUAGUAGUUCAUGUCCAAAAGUGCUGUAUCUCGAUUCAGUUUCGUUUAAUCGU